UACAGAGGUCUCAAGCGUUGUUCGGAUUCAUUGGGCGUAAAGGGUGCGUAGGCGGCUUUUUAAGUCAGGGGUGAAAUCCUGGAGCUCAACUCCAGAACUGCCUUUGAUACUGAGAGCUUGAGUCCGGGAGAGGUGAGUGGAACUGCGAGUGUAGAGGUGAAAUUCGUAGAUAUUCGCAAGAACACCAGUGGCGAAGGCGGCUCACUGGCCCGGUACUGACGCUGAGGUGCGAAAGCGUGGGGAGCAAACAGG
rnacentral:rRNA from 1 species